rnacentral:rRNA from 1 species
AGAGUUUGAUCCUGGCUCAGGAUGAACGCUAGCGGCAGGCCUAAUACAUGCAAGUCGAACGGUAAAUGUAUAGCAAUAUAUAUGAGAGUGACGUACGGGUGCGUAACACGUAUGCAACCUACCCUUUACAGGCGGAUAGCUCGGGGAAACUCGGAUUAACCCGUCAUAAUAUAAUUGAAUGGCAUCAUUUGGUUAUUAAAUCUACGGAGGUAAAGGAUGGGCAUGCGUCUGAUUAGUUAGUUGGCGGGGUAACGGCCCACCAAGACGAUGAUCAGUAGGGGAACUGGGAGGUUGAUCCCCCACACUGGCACUGAGAUACGGGCCAGACUCCUACGGGAGGCAGCAGUAGGGAAUAUUGGUCAAUGGAUGGAAGUCUGAACCAGCCAUGCCGCGUGCAGGAAGAAGGCCUUCUGGGUUGUAAACUGCUUUUGCCGGGGGAUAAAAGAUCCAUGCGUGGAGAAUUGAAGGUACCCGGUGAAUAAGCCACGGCUAACUACGUGCCAGCAGCCGCGGUAAUACGUAGGUGGCAAGCGUUGUCCGGAUUUAUUGGGUUUAAAGGGUGCGUAGGCGGUCCUGUAAGUCAGUGGUGAAAUACGGCAGCUCAACUGUCGAGGUGCCAUUGAUACUGCGGGACUUGAGUACAGACGAGGUAGGCGGAAUUGACGGUGUAGCGGUGAAAUGCUUAGAUAUCGUCAAGAACACCGAUAGCGAAGGCAGCUUACUAGACUGUAACUGACGCUGAGGCACGAAGGUGCGGGGAUCAAACAGGAUUAGAUACCCUGGUAGUCC